rnacentral:rRNA from 1 species
UACGUAGGGGGCUAGCGUUGUCCGGAUUUAUUGGGCGUAAAGAGCGUGUAGGCGGAUUGCUAAGUCAGGGGUGAAAUCCUGGAGCUCAACUCCAGAACUGCCUUUGAUACUGGCGACCUUGAGUCCGGGAGAGGUGAGUGGAACUGCGAGUGUGGAGGUGAAAUUCGUAGAUAUUCGCAAGAACACCAGUGGCGAAGGCGGCUCACUGGCCCGGUACUGACGCUGAGGUGCGAAAGCGUGGGAGCAACAGGG